UAAAUAUGAAGUAUUUGCUUUGAAAUACGUGUUAUGUGCAUAUAUAUUGUUGUUUAUUUGGAGUGAGUGUAUAGUCCCUUUCAUAAACACAAUUUUAAUACAAGUAUUGUCUGAAUGUAUUAAGUAUAUGUUUUGGGUGAGAGGUAGUCACUCUCUUUUAACACAUAAAUAUGAAGUAUUUGCUAUGAAAUACAUGCUAUGUGUUUAUAUACUCUUGUUUAUUCGAGAUAAGUGUGGAAUUGUAACACCGUGAAAUUUCAAAAUAAUUUUUCGCAAAAUAUAAAAACAUUUUUCAUUUAAUUUUCAUAAAACAUCAAGUUUAAAUCUUCAAUUCACAUCAUACAAAAUCCCAAGAUCAUAUCACAUAAAAAUCCCUUGCAUGUGUACAGAUCAAGCCGGCGCCUUCCCACGGUCAUCACUAGUACCUGAAACAAACAACACUAACACUGUAAGCACAAAGCUUAGUGAGUUCCCCAAAAUACCACAUAAACACAUAUUAGCCACUCGAGGCUAUAACUCUAUGGGUCCGUGCACCCAAACUCUGUGAACCCUUAGGUUCUAACUCUGGGAACCUUCCGGUUCCAUCUCUGUAAACAUGCACAGAAUAAAUCACAUAGACAUCAUGCAGUACAACACGUAGCAUACACAUAACAUACACAUACUCUGACACAUAACUCUGUUUACCUACUCAAGGUAAAGUAUAGUGAGAAGACUCACCUCGUAUAUCUCGAUAACCCGUGAAUCCUGGAAAUCACUCGUGCUCGAUCCUCCGAGCUAUAAUCCUCCUAUAACAUCAUACAUCUCUAAUUAACACUUUUACCACUAAGGUUGACUACCCCUAUCAAGUCAACACUGGUCAACUCUGGUCAACGGUCAACGGUCAACUUUGACCGGACUCGGCGAGUGCACUAGGGCGACUCGGCGAGUCUAUACGUAUUCACCAACUCUCUAGGAUUCUCUUUUGACACGUCGAGUACUCCCCUGACUCGACGAGUUCCACCUGGCAUGAAUCGCGGGGCCACCACGACUCAACUCGCCGAGUCUCAAGAACAACUCGGCGAGUCCCAGCUCGACUCAGUCCAUCUGUCAACCCUCUCUAACUCUCCCUGACUCACUGAGUCGACCCUUAACUCGGCAAGACCACUCGCUGAGUGGUCAAGGACAAACUUCAUGCUACUCGCCGAGUCUGUUCUUCGGACUCGGCGAGUCCAUGCCAUGCACCAACUCAAUCUCACUUCUGAGGUCAGAUCCGCUCCAACAACUCAUAGAUCUGGCCCUCCCAAGCACAUUCAUCACGUAAAGUUCAUGUCUUGGUGCUCAUAACACACCCCAUGCCUCAUAAAUGGUGUUUUGACCUCAAGCACAAAGACCCCAAUCCAAAACCCCCAUGGAUUCAUAAAAAGCUUGGACAAAGGGACACUCUGGACCUCCAAGGGUCCAGAUCUAGAACCUAACUCGCUUAAGGGACCAAGGAAGCACUAGAUCUAGUCACAAAAGGGCUCAAUAAGCCCUAAAUCAACAUGAACAUCAACAUAACAGAGAAUGGCUCGAAAAUAGUACCUCAAACGUGAUGUUCUGGACCUCAAAUCUUCAGGAAGUGGCUCCUCUUGUUUCCCCCUUGGCUAUUGCUUCCUUUCCCUUGCUAGAUAACACCUCCAAGGUCAAUAAUGGCUCCUUGACUUACUCCAAACGCUCAAGCUCACUAGGGUUUCUCUCAAGGGACUGGUGAGCACAAAUGACGGCCAUAAGGCCCUUUAAAUAGGCUCCAAACCCGAGAAAUUAGGGUUUCAUUAAACAGCGCGGACUCGCCGAGUCCAUUCCUUGGACUCGCCGAGUCCGGGCGCGAACCCGCGUCCAAAUCCGCGAUCAUACUCGGCGAGUCUAGGCUCCAACUCGCCGAGUCUCCUCACAAAUCAUCAAAAUAAAUAGAUAAAUAAAUAUAUAAUACCUGGGAAUCCGGGCUGUUACAAUUCUCCCCCACUAGAACUAGACUUCGCCCUCGAAGUCUCGCUCUGCAAAUAGCUCCGGAUGCUGCUCACGCAUCUCACGCUCCGGCUCCCAGGUCAUCUCUGAUCCCUUCCGAUGUUGCCACUGAACCAACACCAGGGGUACCUCCUUGUUCCUCAAAACCUUGAUUUUCCGAUCUCUGAUGGCCACUGGUCUCUCGGCAUAAUUCAGGCUCGCAUCCACCUGAAUAUCCUCUAAUGGAACCACUGCCGACUCAUCGGCUAUACACUUCCUCAGCUGCGACACAUGAAAAGUGUCGUGAAUCUGCCCCAACUCUGCUGGCAAAUCCAAACGAUAGGCUACCCGGCCUACCCUCGCGAUCACACGGAAAGGACCAAUAUAUCGGGGCCCCAACUUGCCCCUCUUCCUGAAUCGAAUCACUCCUUUCCAAGGAGAGACCUUCAGGAGUACAAGGUCGCCGACCUGAAACUCAAGCUCGGACCGGCGUCUGUCUGCAUAACUCUUCUGUCGGCUCUGAGCGGUCAACAACCUCUGUCUGACCUGCUGGAUCUGCUCUGUCGUCUGAAGCACGAUCUCUGUACUGCCCAUCACCCUCUGUCCAACCUCUCCCCAACAAAUGGGGGUCCGACACCUCCUCCCAUACAACAGCUCAAAGGGUGGCAUACCAAUGCUCGAAUGAUGGCUGUUGUUGUAGGAAAACUCUGCCAAGGGUAAAUACGCAUCCCAGCUACCCCCGAAAUCCAACACACAUGCUCGGAGCAUGUCCUCAAGCGUCUGAAUCGUCCGCUCACUCUGACCGUCUGUCUGGGGAUGAUAUGCGGUACUAAAAUGCAGUCUAGUACCCAACUCCUCAUGAAAUUUCUUCCAGAAUCUGGAAGUGAAACGCACAUCACGGUCUGAAACAAUCGAGAUCGGCACCCCAUGCCGAGAUACCACUUCCCUCACAUACACCUCCGCCAAUUUCUCUGCUGAAGAACUCUCACUGAUAGCAAGGAAGUGAGCGCUCUUCGUCAACCUGUCCACAAUCACCCAAAUUGCAUCAACUCCUCUGGCAGUCCUCGGCAAUUUGGUGAUGAAAUCCAUAGUGAUCUGUUCCCACUUCCACUCGGGAACCUCCAAUGGCUGCAACUUGCCAUGCGGUCUCUGGUGCUCGGCCUUAACCCUACGGCAGGUCAAGCACCUCUCAACAAACCAUGCGACGUCCCUCUUCAUACAGGGCCACCAAUACUCUUUCCUCAAAUCCAAAUACAUCUUCGUAGCCCCCGGAUGGAUCGAAAACUUCGACCGAUGAGCCUCUUCCAUCAAAGUAAUACGCGUACCGCCCACAAACGGUACCCAAAUCCGACCCUGAAACGUCAUAAGCCCUCGUCCAUCCGUAACGAACUCUGAAAUUAACCCCACAACCCGCUCUUUCUUCUGCAUUUCUGGUCGCACAGCUUCGGUCUGCGCCCCACGAAUAGCAUCCAAUACUGGAGUCAUCACAGUUAGUCUCAAGCAUACAUCUCGCAAUGGAGUGCUCUCCGCCCUGCGGCUCAACGCGUCGGCUACCACAUUAGCCUUACCUGGGUGGUACAGGAUCUCACAAUCAUAAUCCUUGACCACAUCCAACCACCUCCUCUGACGCAUAUUUAGGUUGGGCUGAUCCAUCAAAUACUUCAAGCUCUUAUGGUCCGUGUAUAUCGUACAUCGAACCCCAUACAAGUAGUGACGCCAAAUCUUGAGAGCGAACACUACUGCCCCCAACUCUAAAUCAUGCGUGGGAUAUCUCGCCUCAUGAGGCUUCAGCUGCCUCGACGCAUAAGCUAUCACAUGACCCCUCUGCAUCAACACUGCACCCAGUCCCGAAAUCGAUGCGUCGCAAUAUACCACAAAAUCUUCCAUCCCUUCUGGGAGAGCUAAUACCGGGGCUUCGCACAACCUCUGGCGAAGUGUCUCAAAGGAGGUCUGCUGCUCGGGCCCCCAUGAGAAUGCAACACCCUUCCGGGUCAAUCUGGUGAGCGGCACUGCGAUCUUGGAGAAAUCCUUAAUGAAUCUCCGAUAAUACCCUGCCAACCCAAGGAAGCUCCUGAUCUCAGAGGGUGACUUCGGCACCUCCCAACUCAUCACCGCCUCAACCUUGGCCGGAUCGACCAAUAUCCCUUUCUGAUUAACAACAUGUCCUAGAAAUUGGACCUCCCGCAACCAGAAGUCACAUUUGGAGAACUUUGCAUAAAGCUUCUCCGACCUCAAUACCUCAAGGACCUCCCUCAAAUGCUCCUCAUGCUGCUCUCUAGAUCUCGAAUACACCAGAAUGUCGUCGAUAAAUACAAUCACUGACCGAUCCAACAUCGGCCUGCAUACCCUGUUCAUGAGAUCCAUGAACACAGCCGGGGCAUUGGUGAGCCCGAAAGGCAUCACCACAAACUCAUAAUGCCCAUAUCGCGUCCUAAACGCUGUCUUCUGGACGUCCUCAUCCCGCACUCUCACCUGAUGGUACCCUGACCUCAGAUCGAUCUUGGAAAACCAAGAUGCUCCCUGCAACUGAUCGAAUAAAUCAUCGAUCCUCGGUAACGGGUAACGGUUCUUGACCGUCAACUUGUUCAACUCCCGGUAAUCAAUGCACAUCCGGUGUGAACCAUCCUUCUUCUUGACGAACAGAAUAGGUGCUCCCCACGGCGAGCUGCUCGGCCGAAUGAAUCCCUUCCCCAGCAACUCCUGGAGCUGCGAGGACAACUCUUGCAUCUCUGGAGGUGCAAGACGAUAAGGCACCUUAGCAAUAGGCGCGGCCCCCGGAACCAGAUCGAUACCAAACUCUACUUGCCUCACAGGAGGUACUCCCGGCAGCUCCUCGGGGAAAACAUCUGGAAACUCACGCACCACAGGGACCUCCUCAACUGACUUCGGUCUCUCGGAAACCUCCCGCGUAUCCAUCACAUACGCCACAAAACCCUUACAGCCCUGCUGUAGACACUGCCUCGCUCUAGCGGCCGAACAAAACGCUAAUCCUGAACGUGUACCCUCGCCGUAUACCGAAACAACUCCCCCACUAGGGUCUCGUAUGGUCACCAACUGUCGCUCACAGUCGAUAACCGCACCGAAUUUGCUCAACCAAUCCAUGCCCACGAUGACACAGACAUCACCCAUCGCAAUAGGAACCAGAUGAAUCGGGAACUCAACACCAAAAAUCUCAACUACGCAACCUCGGAGAACCUCCGUGGCAUAUAUCACCCUCUCAUCAGCUAUGGAAACUCUUAGAGGCCGACUCAACGCCUCACGACUAACACUGAUAUGCUGACUAAAAGCCAAAGAUACAAAAGACCGACUCGCACCCGAGUCAAAUAACACCAAGGCAGGUACAGAAUUCACAAGAAAAGUACCUACGAAUAACAUAACAUAAGCAUAAUAUCACAACAUCAAAAUAAAUACAUGAAAGAAUACAUACCAGCCACGACAUCGGACGCUGCGCGGACCUCCUCCGCGGUCAGCUGAAAGGCUCUCCCUCGUGCCCUCGGCGCCUCGGCCUUCACUGGCCGACUCUCUGUAGCUCUGAUGGCGGCAGGGGCAGAUCCCUGAGGUGCUCCCUGAGAUGACCCUCGCAACUGCGGACACUCUGCCUUCCGGUGUCCGGUCUGAUUGCAGUGGAAGCACACUGCAAACCCCUUGGGGCAAUCCUUGGCCAUAUGCCCCUCCUUGCCACAUUUGUAGCAAGAUCCUGCUCUGCAGACUCCAUCGUGACCCUUGCCACACUUCCCACAAGUGCGGCCCUUCUGGCUCCCUGGUUUGGGAUCAGCGGGCUUGGCCCGCUUGGCUGCCGGCUGAGACUGUGCCGGUCGCCGAUCCCUCCCCUGAGACUCCGCCUCCUCCCUGGCCUGAGUCUCUAGCUCAAUCUCCCUCUUCCGGGCAUUUGCCUGAAGCUCAGCAAAUGUCCGGUACGAGGAGUUCGCCGCGAACUCCCGAAUGUCUCGCCUCAAAAUACUCAAAUAUCGGCUCAUACGUGCCUGCUCAGUGGACACGUGCUCAGGGCAGAACAUCGCCCUCUCAUGGAACAUCCUGGUAAUCGCUGUAACUGACUCAGUACCCUGCUUGAGGGUCAGAAACUCCUGUGCCAAACGCUCCCUCUCCACCUGGGGAACGUACUCAUCUCGGAACAUGGCAGUGAACCUCUCCCAGGUCACUGCCGCAAGCUCAGCAGGCGUAAAAUGCGCCGUCACAAACUUCCACCAGUCCUUCGCUCCCAAGCGAAGCUGGUUCAGCGCGAACCGAACCUUCAAAUGCUCAGGAGAUGAGCAAGUGAAGAAACACCCCUCUAUAUCAGAUAUCCACCUCAUAGCUGCCACCGGAUCCUGGGUCCCAUCAAACUCUGGUGGUUUUGUGUUGCUGAACUCCCGGAACAGCAACGCAUCACCACCUUGCGGCCUCGCGGCAGCAAUCGCUGCGGUGGCCGCUGCAACAGCAGCCUCAGAAAGAGCGGCAUAACGCUCGUCAAAGGUCUCAAUCAGCGUGGUCUUAAUAGACCCGAACAUCUCUGGUAUCUCUGCCCUGAUGGCCGCAGCCACCUCCUCAUGGAUGAUCCGGCGGAUCUCCUCAUCACUGGUAUCACUGCUCUCAGGCAUCAAACGUGUCCUCACCAUGAUCUACCUCUGAAAUACAACAUACGAAAAAUUAGAACCCCUUCGAGCAUACUCACACUCGACAACUCAUUCCUCCUUGAUCCUUGGUAUUCCAAAGAUUCUUACUUGGGCUGUACACCGCUCCGGUGCUUUCAGUAGUACGGGCCCAAUACUACUGUCCGCACCGUAUCAGAAUACACCCCAAGUCCUCCUCUUCGGAUCCCAAAUUCCAAGUACUCUAUCAUGCAUAGACCACUCUCUAAUAGAUCUCUCAUAAGCCCCUCGCUGCUACCUACUCACUCUCAAGCAUCUCAUAGCAGCUCACCUCUUCCUAGGCUAAGGCAUCACAAAUCAGGCCACUCUAGUCCUAAUAGGAAUACCUAGCCUACUCUAGCAUGCGAAUACAUCAUAUCAAUAUCAAUAUCACAUAACAUGAGGGUAUUUUGGGAAAUCACCGUUCGGGCGCGGACUGAUCGUACACACAACUCUGCUCUGCGUUUCUUUUCAAAAUCUUUUACUCUUUUUGAAAAUACUUCUCAAAUCCUCAGUUUGAGUUCAAAUACGCCCGAAGGUGUACUCGAAUCCCUCAAACCAAGGCUCUGAUACCAACUUGUAACACCGUGAAUUUCAAAAUAAUUUUUCGCAAAAUAUAAAAACAUUUUUCAUUUAAUUUUCAUAAAACAUCAAGUUUAAAUCUCCAAUUCACAUCAUACAAAAUCCCAAGAUCACAUAUCAUAAAAAUCCCAUGCGUGUGUACAGAUCAAGCCGGCGCCUUCCCACGGUCAUCACUAGUACCUGAAACAAACAACACUAACACUGUAAGCACAAAGCUUAGUGAGUUCCCCAAAAUACCACACAUAACACAUAUUAGCCACUCGAGGCUAUAACUCUGUGGGUCCGUAGACCCUACUCUGUGAACCCACUGGUUCUAACUCUGGGAACCUUCCGGUUCCAACUCUAUAAACAUGCACAACAUAAAUCACAUA
rnacentral:lncRNA from 1 species